UGUUUCUGCUGAGCCACAACGGGAACUCCCACUUUCAUUAGUGCAAUUUUAAGGUCCCUCUAGAUAUAUUCUACCUCAUUUAAAUUGCACUACAAUGCUGAUAUCAGAAUUACUAUCCCCACGUUACAGAUGAAACCAUCACUGCAAAAAGAUACCAGCUGAAAACUUUUGUGACUAACACACUGCAGCAUACUUACCUGCAUGUCAUGCCACUUUCAUUCGAUGCCUAAGAAACUUAAGAGAGCAGAGGAGCAGGGAUGUACUGAGGACAGUGGAGAGGCCUGUUUGCUUAGGGUUCUCUGUCUCAUCAUCUUUCUUCUCUGAAAACCCUUCACUGUAAGCCUUACCUCUUGAGACGUAGCUCUUAUUAAGAGGUAAAGAGACAUAAAGGCCCACGAAAAGUUCAUCAUGUCGGUAGAUUUUCUCUUUCUAGAAGUGGCUAAGAGUGGGGAUUGGGUUGCAGAAAUGGGAAAGAAGGUGAAUGGACUUGAUGUUGCCGAACUGCAGACUUUAAAAUAGAAGAUCAAUAUAUGGCAGGAGAUAUGAAAAACAACCACUUGGCUGGCAGGUGGAAAUCAAAGCACAGAGUAAAUUUCUUUAUCAGUCACCCAUCCAAGUUUAGACACCUGCCCGGCUUCAUGUUACCAGAAGCAGCUGCUUUCCUGCCACUCAUUUGCAGUAUGUGUUCCUUCAUCUAUGACUCCCUUGGGCCUGACCCACCGAAAGAAGCCAGCAGGUCAUGAUUUUGGUUUCUGAAAUGCCUCUAAUUACUGCCCAGCUGCAUGUUUGGAACUCCAUCAAACAUAAGCAUCAGAGCCAUUAGCCUGAGAACGUGGACUAGCCUGGGGACAUGAGCCUAUGUUUGAGGCUUUGCUUGGAAGCCAUGAGAGAGUGUCCUGCAGAGGGGGUGUCCCCAGCCAGAUGAGCUCCACACAAGCCUGGGGUGAGUCAGGCCAGCAGGUGGGUGAAUCAGCUAGUGUUCUGUGCUGGCCCCAGGCCAGGAGGACACACUCUCCCUUAUGUACAAGUCACGUUUGAGAGCCGCAUCCGGUCAUGUGCAGAAGGAGUGUCAGGUCAAGGUUAUGUCUUCCUCUUUCUGACAUGAACUGGCCAUUUCUUUGAAGGGUUGUGGAGGUAGGUAGGCAGUCACCUUAAAAGGUUCUGCUUCCGCCGUCUUUCCAUCGCUGCUUUUGAAUGUACUGCUACUAAUAAAGUGAUAGUGUGGACAGCAAUGUAUAUAAAACAAGGCUCACUUCAUGCUGGGACUAUUUUAAGUGUUUUACGUGUAUCAACACAUUUAUUUCCCAUAGCCAUUGAGGUAGAUGAAUCAUGGCCAUAAAUUCUUUGAUAGCUUUUCCCAGUUAGAAUCGGGGUCUAUGCCCCUCCCCUUGAAUCUGGAUGGGCCCCCUGACUGCUUUGACCCCUAGAACAUGGCAUAAGUGCGGAUGUGCCAGUUCUGAGAUGUCCUGUAGGACGCUUGCUCUUGGACACUCACUCUAGGAGAAGCCAGAUGCCACAUAUUAGGUUUGCCCACUCUGCUGGAGAAACCAUGGGGGGGCCCCUGGGACCACGAGGAGAGGGAAAGGGGCCAGCUGAGCUGAGCCUGGAGCAGCUCCUGACAAGAACCCUGACCUGAGAGUGAAAAAGCCGUCUCAGAUUCCCGCCACCCCUCCUGACACCACGUUGAUCCCAGAACCACCCAGCUGAGCCUGCUUGAGUUCCUGACCCAUCUUUUUUUUUUUUUUUAAUUAAAAAUAAUUGAAGUAUAGUUGAUUUACCAACCCACAAUCUUGUGAGCAAACAGAAGUGACUUUUAAGUCACUACAUCUGGGUAGUUUGUAUUCAGCAAUAAAUAACUAGAACCACCUCCCUGCCUCCUAAGUGCAGUCAUUAUCCUUAUUUUACUGGUGAGAGAACUAAAACUCAGAGUGGUUCGGUGACUGGCUCAAAGUUGCAUAGAAGGAGGCAGCCAUGGAAUUCAAGCCCAAGCAUUCUGGCUCCAGGGCCUGAACUACUCAUCCUGAGGCCAACAGCGAGGCCCUCCUGCCUUGGGCUUCUUAGAUUCAAAAUCUCUUAGCAUCUUGGUCUUCUUGUCUGGACAAUGACGAGUUGGCCUCGGUUGCAAAUGUAAAGCAGAGUUUCUCAACCUGCUUUGUAGCUGGAAGAUUAGGCCACUUAAUUCUUCACUGUGGGCUCUGCUGUGCACUGUGGGAUGCUUAGCAGGAUCCCUAGUCUUUGGGGUCUACUUCCUCUCACUCUGAUGAGCAAAAAUAUCCCCAGACAGUCCCCAAAUUGCCUCCAGCCAAGAGCUAACCCAGUUGUCUUCCAGCCCCACCUUUGCUGUUUGGUCCCCUUUGCAGUGCUGCGCCUUCCUUCCCCCUUAGCUACAAUUGAGUGGGUAUCAUUGCCCACAGGACUCCUCCUGUGGCCUCUCUGCCCCUGGGACACAUGAGGUGACCCUGUUAUGCUCUGUCAUGCCUGGGCGUCUUUCUUUGGUACUGUACGGGGUGGUGAUGUGGCUGUGUCCUUGCUGACCUGUGGGUUCCCUAAGGGCAGAGACUACGUCUUUCUUGCCUUUGUACCUUCCGCAUUUAGCAUAAGUCCUGGCUGGUUCAGUGCUGAUGCUCAGCACAUUCUUAGUAAAACAAGGAAUGAAUGAGGCAGUACCUUGUAGAGUGUGGGCUUUGAGUCAGGCUGAAGGCAGUUUGAAUCCUGGCUCUGCUGUUUACCGGCAGCUUAGAGUUGGGCAAGUUACAUAAUCUCCUCCACAUUCCUCUCUGGAAGAGAGACAGUGAACUCUCUACCUCACAGGGCAAGAAGAAAGGAGAAAGAGUAAGGAGAAAAGGAGAUGAUGCCUAUUCCUUGCUUAGUCCAGUUUGACAGGGCGUAAAUGCUCAGUAAAUGGUAUCUUUUAUAAAACAAAAGAAUGUUAUCAUUUCCUGUCUCCUCCCCCUCCACAUGCCUUAUUCCAGCCCUGCAAAACUGCAAGCUGAGUUUGUGGGCACAGGCACUAUUAGAAAUUCUCUUAUUUCUCUUUUCCUGGAGACCACCUCACUGUUAGUGGGCACUUUCCUCCUUUCAGUCCUGGAUUCAAAUUCAUAUGGUUUUCUUAACAUUGUCACCAGGUUCUACCCCACCUCUAUGUCCUCUGAAGGGCAGGUCAUCUGAAGUCCUAGUGAGGUCUCGUGACUUGAGCCUGGAGAGAAGUCAGACUCAGAUGAUUUGAUGAGCUCCUAUCCCCAGGGGCUGAGGACUGGACUGGGAACCAGGGAAAGGGAGCUGGCAGGCAGUGCACCACAGGGGACAGAGACUCUGGCUGACUGUGGAUGGCACGUGUACUUAAUUCCCCCACCUCCUCUUCUGGGGGACAUUGCCAUGGAUGGCCAUCUCUGCAGUGAGCAUAGGGGCAUUUCAUGCACAAACACUGGCAGUGAGAUGAAAUAAGGCUGGGACAGUAAGGGGAUUUAUGAUCUUGCUUAGUUAAAAAUCUGGCAGAAAGGCAGCUCCAGGAUUGGUUAAUUUAGUUAUUAAACUGCAUCAUCAAAGACCCUGGUUCUUUUUGACUUCAAUGUGUUUGCUUAUCUGCCUCCCCUGGUCUCAAGAGGCCUGCCAGAGCUCCAGGCUUCACAUGUAGUCAGUGUUUACAGAUGUACAGAGGCAGAAAAAAGGGGGAACUCUUGCAAAUUCAUGCUCUCACUCUCUCUCAUCUCUCACUCUCUCUCUCUCUCUCUCUCUUUUUUUUUUUCUUUUUCUUUUUAG